UACGUAGGCAGCAAGCGUUGUUCGGAAUUACUGGGCGUAAAGAGUGUGUAGGCGGUGUUCUAAGUUUGUCGUGAAAUCUCCCGGCUUAACUGGGAGGGUGCGGCGAAAACUGGAAUGCUAGAGGAUGGGAGAGGUAAGCGGAAUUCCUGGUGUAGCGGUGAAAUGCGUAGAUAUCAGGAGGAACACCAGCGGUGUAGACGGCUUUCUGGACCAUUGCUGACGCUGAGACACGAAAGCGUGGGGAGCGAACAGG
rnacentral:rRNA from 1 species